CUGAUGCCCACCCAGUCAACCCAUGGAGUCCUGAUGCCCACCCAGUCAACCCAUGCUAAACAUAUAAACACUCAUGGUACUGUUAGUCACUUUGUAUAAAGCAUCCACCAAACGGUAUAAUGUUGUGAAUCAUUUUGACAUCUGUAGAAUGAUCACUAAUAAACAAGCUGGGGUGGGAUGUACGUGAACACAGAUUUAAAGGGAAAAUGAGAGGAUAACAAGGAUGUUUCACUAACUGAACAGUGAUUAUACAGGAUGAUAAAGCAUGCAGACAGCAAUUACUUACUAUGACUUAGCAAUACAACAAGCUUGCAGAUGUUCAGAUGGUUGGAACAAGAGACAUUCUGCCCACACACUGAGCAGCAGCAAGCAAAGAUCUCCCAUGCAUGGGAUCCAGGAAUCAAAGAUGGAGGAUUUCCUGGCGAUACCAGGAACUGACGUUGGGACAUCACAAACCACUUCCUGGUGAUAAAUCACACCACCGACUGGACAAAGUGUGGGGAAGAAACACAGAAACACAGGACGACCCACCACGUCCUGGGACUUCCUCCACCCACCACGUCCUGGGACUUCCUCCACCCAGGAGAGUGGAACAAAAUUAUGGGCCCUGUAAAUAGGCGGUCUCUGAGGGUCCCUCCCCUCUAAAUUCAAGAUUCAACAUUUUUUGAGGGCCCCUCUAUAUAUUUGGGACCUAUAUACUUAGUUCACCUUUUUCACCUGGCCUAACGUCACUUCCUCCACCCACUACAUCCUGGGACGCCCUCCUCCCACCACUUCCUGGGACACCAUCAGGACUCAGCCCCCACCCCUAAAUGACUCUAACUAGGACAGAUAGGGACAAGGCCCUCAGAAAGGGAGGGCCCCUAAAAUCAUUAGGCAUAAAAAAAUAAAAAUGCUAAAACUAACACAUUUGUUCUUCCUAAUUAAGCAGUGUACCAGCUAACAAACAGUACUUACAAGCACCACUUUCACAUUGGCUUAUGUACACACCAUCAGGGAAGACAAUUUCACAAAUUAUUAUUGAAUAAUCACUGGUGGAUACAUAUUAAGAAAAGAUAAUGUCCCUGUUACCCAUUUCUUUAGAUUUUUUUCAGACAUGAGGAAAAUUGAUUGGUGGAGAUAUCAGAAGGUAGAUCAGCAUUCUUUUUUUAUUUAAAUUAUUUUGUCUGAAGGGUCUAUUAUUUAAUGUAUUAGGCAGCA
ensembl:lncRNA